UACGUAGGGCGCAAGCGUUUGUCCGGAAUUAUUGGGCGUAAAGAGCUCGUAGGCGGUCUGUCGCGUCUGCUGUGAAAACUCGGGGGCUUAACCCCGGGCCUGCAGUGGGUACGGGCAGACUAGAGUGCGGUAGGGGAGACUGGAAUUCCUGGUGUAGCGGUGAAAUGCGCAGAUAUCAGGAGGAACACCGGUGGCGAAGGCGGCGACCUGGUCCAUUACUGACGCUGAGGCGCGAAAGCGUGGGGGAGCAAACAGG
rnacentral:rRNA from 1 species